GCUUGACUGCGAGCGUGACGGCGCGAGCAGGUGCGAAAGCAGGUCAUAGUGAUCCGGUGGUUCUGAAUGGAAGGGCCAUCGCUCAACGGAUAAAAGGUACUCCGGGGAUAACAGGCUGAUACCGCCCAAGAGUUCAUAUCGACGGCGGUGUUUGGCACCUCGAUGUCGGCUCAUCACAUCCUGGGGCUGAAGUAGGUCCCAAGGGUAUGGCUGUUCGCCAUUUAAAGUGGUACGCGAGCUGGGUUUAGAACGUCGUGAGACAGUUCGGUCCCUAUCUGCCGUGGGCGCUGGAGAAUUGAGGGGGGCUGCUCCUAGUACGAGAGGACCGGAGUGGACGCAUCACUGGUGUUCGGGUUGUCAUGCCAAUGGCACUGCCCGGUAGCUAAAUGCGGAAGAGAUAAGUGCUGAAAGCAUCUAAGCACGAAACUUGCCCCGAGAUGAGUUCUCCCUGAGACUU
rnacentral:rRNA from 1 species